rnacentral:rRNA from 1 species
UACGGUAGGGGGCGAGCGUUGUCCGGAAUCAUUGGGCGUAAAGCGCGUGUAGGCGGCUCGGUAAGUCUGGUGUGAAAUCCUGGGGCUCAACCCCAGGCGGUCACUGGAUACUGUCGGGCUAGAGUCCGGAAGAGGAGAGUGGAAUUCCUGGUGUAGCGGUGGAAUGCGCAGAUAUCAGGAGGAACACCUAGUGGCGAAGGCAGCUCUCUGGUACGUGACUGACGCUGAGACGCGAAAGCGUGGGGAGCGAACAGG